UGUUUCGGCAAGGGGGUCAUCCCGACUUACCAACCCGAUGCAAACUGCGAAUACCGGAGAAUGUUAUCACGGGAGACACACGGCGGGUGCUAACGUCCGUCGUGAAGAGGGAAACAACCCAGACCGCCAGCUAAGGUCCCAAAGUCAUGGUUAAGUGGGAAACGAUGUGGGAAGGCCCAGACAGCCAGGAUGUUGGCUUAGAAGCAGCCAUCAUUUAAAGAAAGCGUAAUAGCUCACUGGUCGAGU
rnacentral:rRNA from 1 species